AUUGAAUUAAAGGGACCAUCCAAACAACCAAUUAAAAAAACAAUUAAAAAGCAACACAUUUGGAGACAAAGAGAGGAUUUAGGGGUCACAAAAAACAAAUCAUAUCAAAAUCUAUGUUUAAACCCUCCGGCUGCAUCGUUUUCAAUGUAUAAAUCCCAAAGCCCUCUCUCUAUCUCAAUCUCAGAAUUAAAUCACCUCCCCCUUCAUCCAGUGACACUUGUUCUAUACCAACACACGAAAGGUUUUUAAAAUUAAAAUUAGAACAUUGGUUGCAAUGUACAGGCACUGAAUGGCUAUUAAGUUUUUUCCUAAUGUUGCACAGUGCCGUCACAGUCAGUCAUAGAGAAUCAUUAAGUGGGGACUGGAGCAACUUACCUUUAAACUUAAUUUGUUUUUGAAUAUUUUAAUAUAUAUUUUUAAAUAAUAAAGUUAACUACUACAAUCCCUAUUUUAUUAUUUAGAUUUUACCCUGCUGCUGUUCUACUGCAUUUGAUUCCUGCACAUCGUAGGUGGGGAUUGUACCAUCAUAGGCAUAUACUGUACUACCAGAGCAAGUCGUUGUUUUGAAAAUUGUAGGAUACCUGCUUGUUUUCACAAUUCACAUUACUUACAAUAUACAUUACUUACAAUAUACUGUGUAUGUAUAUAUACUGUUUUGCUGUUUUGCUUUGGUGCAGUUUACCACACCUUUUUCCUUCACGUUUUGUAUUUUAGCAAGGGUUGGGAAUGCUUGCUGGUUCACUGCAGCCUUCUUCCUUGUUAUCUUAGUGAGCGCCUGUCCGCUGUUGUUUUAUUUAUAUAAAGAAUCAUUAUAUGCAAUGGUUCUCCAUGGCAGAAUCAUAGGCUGAUUGUGGUGGGAUUUUGGUGCAACCUAAUGCGCCACUUUGAAGAGCAUUAGAUUGGACUGUUCUCCUGUAGGUACGCCUACAGUAUGACAUCACAUGAUGAAGAGACUUGGUACUGGUGAUCA